rnacentral:sRNA from 1 species
GGUACAUUUCCAUUGCCAUUGCUAAACAGUUUUCUCCCUCAAGAAACCACAAAUUAUUGAAGAAGUGGCCUUGGCAUUUCUGAGAACAGAGGCACCUUGGUGACUUAUCAUACCAGUUUCAUCAAAAUUAAACCUCUGAGAAUCACACACAAAAAAGGAGAGACUUAAUUCUGAGAAUACAUUUCCUGGUAAGUUAGAAAACUAGCUGGUUUGUGGCGUGGCCCAGCCCUCUUUACCUUUUACCAUUCCCACUGUCUGUUGACACUUUCCAGUCAUCACUACCUUAGAGAAGAGAAGAAUUUGUGAAGGAAACUUACAAACUAUUGGAUGAUACAAAACGUCCCUAAGGAAUCCAGGUCAUCUUUCUAAGAUAAGAGUUCCUAACUGGCUUAUCGCACUGAAGCUCAAGAGAGGCUCACGUAUUUGUAGAAGCUCUGAACAAUGUGUCAGGCACAUCGUGGGUCAAGGUAUUUGCCAAAGGGACAAAACUCGUAGUAAUUCCCUCAGACAAACUCAUUGACUCAGACAUUUCUCCCAAGCCUAUUACUUUUCUUCCAUCUGUUGCUGAAACAAAUCUCGUUAAGGGUGGGACAUAUCUUUGUCUCCUUGAGAAAUUCUUUCCUGACAUUAUAAAGGUAUACUGGAAAGAAAAGGAUGAUGAUAAAAUUCUGGAAUCUCAAGAGGGAAACACCAUAAGAACUAAUGACAGAUACAUGAUAUUCAGCUGGCUGACAGUGACAGAAGAUUCAAUAGAUAAAGAACACAGAUGUAUUGUCAAACACGAAAACAACAAAGGAGGAGUUGACCAAGAGAUUCUGUUUCCUCCGAUAGACAAAGCUGCCAACAUCAUUACUCCCACAAAAUCUGCUUUGAAGACCGAGAGCGCUUUCACAACUAUUAAUGUCGAUCCCAGAGAGAGUGUUUUCAGACAUGAAAAUGGUAAGUUUGAAUAUAUGCUUGCCUUUACCUCUUGAAAAAGUGUUUUUCUUCUAUCACCUCAUCUUCUGAACCUUCUUGGAUUAACGCUAAAAAGACAAAUGAAAACAAUCGCUAACUGCAGUAGAAGAGUGUGAGUUGCAUUUUAAAUCAAUCUUUUCCUCCAUGUCACUAUAGAUCAAAAACAAUUUCUUUUUUUUUUAC